GAUGAACGCUGGCGGCGUGCCUAAUACAUGCAAGUCGAGCGAACGGACGAGAAGCUUGCUUCUCUGAUGUUAGCGGCGGACGGGUGAGUAACACGUGGAUAACCUACCUAUAAGACUGGGAUAACUUCGGGAAACCGUAGCUAAUCCCGGAUAAUAUUUUAAACCCCUGGGUUCAAAAGUAAAGGACGGUUUUCCUGUACCUUAUAGAGGAACCCGCGCUGCUUUAGCUAGUUGGUAAGGUAACGGCUUACCAAGGCAACGAUGCAUAGCCGACCUGAGAGGGUGAUCGGCCACACUGGAACUGAGACACGGUCCAGACUCCUACGGGAGGCAGCAGUAGGGAAUCUUCCGCAAUGGGCGAAAGCCUGACAGAGCAACGCCGCGUGAGUGAUGAAGGUCUUCGGAUCGUAAAACUCUGUUAUUAGGGAAGAACAUAUGUGUAAGUAACUGUGCACAUCUUGACGGUACCUAAUCAGAAAGCCACGGCUAACUACGUG
rnacentral:rRNA from 1 species